rnacentral:lncRNA from 1 species
CUUUUUCCCUCUGUGUUCUGUAUGCAGAGUGUGUGCUGUGUUGCCUUCAGCGGUGAGGACUUAGAAUAUCUAGUUCUACUGGGAAUAAUAAGCUUCUGAUUUUUGUCUAUCGCAUUAUAAUUUCAGAAGAAUUUGAAUAUGCAACACAUGUUGUGACAGUAAUGUAUAUUUUCCCUAUGAUAAUACAUCUGUGGCCAAUUGCAAGAGAGUUAAAUGUAUCGGCACUGAUAUCCAUAAACUACUACUAUAUGUUUUUAUAUACAUUGGAAUCAGCACUGAAGAUACUAAUUUUAAAAAGGAAAUAUUUUCUUCAGAAUUGGAAUACUUUGGACUUUUUCAUCAUAGUCCUCGGAAUCGUUGAUAUAUUGUGCAUGUACUUCGUCAAGCUGAGACCAGACAGCUUGGUUCUCAUCCAGUUUACGGUGGUCAUAGGGUAUCUAAGAGUGAUUAGGUUUCUUCCCAUUUUCAAGAUAAUAAUACCAGUACUCAUAAACAUGGCAGACGUACAGAUCAAGAAGAGCCUCAGUUUGAUGUACAGUAUUACAAAAGGCUAUGUCAAAAGUCAGGAAGAUGCCAAGCUUUUGGUAAGGCAAAUUUCUGGACGUGAAUCAAUCUAUCAGAAAUUAUAUGACAUUCUAGAAAGAAACAAACGAGAGGCUAUUAGAGAACUAGGCCUCAUUGAACAUGAAGGCCGUGACGUUGUCAUUGCUCUGAAGACAAAGCAGACGAUCCGCAACGUGAUUGCCAAGGCCCUAAAAAACCUCACCUUUCUU